rnacentral:lncRNA from 1 species
UAUAACCACACUUCAUAGACACACUAACAUUAUGGUUAGUGAAUUUAUCUAACUAUUUUGGGAAAAACAAUUGUACUCAAGAUGCCUAAACAAAAUAUUUAACAAUAUUAAACACACCUUGCAUUUCUGGAUAAUCUUCAUUAGCUCCACAUAAUAUUCCUAAAAUAGAUGAUAUUAUCAAAAUUUUAGUUUAACGUGUGCCUAUUUUUAAGCUACCAACUUAACGAAAAAUAUCAGUUUUUAGUUCCAAUCUGCAUUCUUAACUUCUCAUAUUUUUAAUGUUUUAAGUUUUAAGAAAUCGUGUAUAUAGAAAACGGAAAUCCAAAUAUUAUUUUUUAAUAGGAACACAUAAACAAAAAGAUAUCAAUCUUUCAAUUAAAUUCCAUAUACUUUGUAAACCAUAUAUGAUAUACAUUAAAUUAUAGGACAUUUCUUUAUGAUACUAUCACA